rnacentral:rRNA from 1 species
CCUACGGGAGGCAGCAGUGAGGAAUAUUGGUCAAUGGACGAGAGUCUGAACCAGCCAAGUAGCGUGAAGGAUGACUGCCCUAUGGGUUGUAAACUUCUUUUAUAUGGGAAUAAAAUGUUCCACGUGUGGGAUUUUGUAUGUACAAUAUGAAUAAGGAUCGGCUAACUCCGUGCCAGCAGCCGCGGUAAUACGGAGGAUCCGAGCGUUAUCCGGAUUUAUUGGGUUUAAAGGGAGCGUAGGUGGAUUGUUAAGUCAGUUGUGAAAGUUUGCGGCUCAACCGUAAAAUUGCAGUUGAAACUGGCAGUCUUGAGUACAGUAGAGGUGGGCGGAAUUCGUGGUGUAGCGGUGAAAUGCUUAGAUAUCACGAAGAACUCCGAUUGCGAAGGCAGUUCACUGGACUGCAACUGACACUGAGGCUCGAAAGUGUGGGUAUCAAACAGGAUUAGAUACCCCAGUAGUC